rnacentral:rRNA from 1 species
UACAGAGGGUGCGAGCGUUGUUCGGAAUUAUUGGGCGUAAAGCGCUUGUAGGUGGUUGUUUAAGUCGACUGUGAAAGCCCUUGGCUCAACCAAGGAAGUGCAGUCGAUACUGGACGACUUGAGUGCCGGAGAGGGUCGCGGAAUUCCCGGUGUAGAGGUGAAAUUCGUAGAUAUUCGGAAGAACACCGGUGGCGAAGGCGGCCAACUGGUCCGGAUCUGACGCUGAGGCGCGAAAGCGUGGGGAGCAAACAGG